GGCUGGCCUACAGCACUAAGUCUGGCAGGGCUCAGAGAAGGAAGCUUCCAAGUGGACUUCAUGCAUCUGAAAAGGAGCCACUCUGGGAGCCGCCUCGGAGGCAGCUCUUCUCACUACCUAGGUAACUUGUGGGUAACAGCGCUGUCAUCUAUGGCUCAAAGCCACUCACCAGGGAGUUGCUGCAGACCUGUAUGUAUCCUUAUACAGAGAAACAGAGAGAGGCUACUGAGGACCUAAGCCGGUGCCUCAUGGAUAAGGAAACUCCAUGGAAGUUAGAGCUGCCCUGUAAUUUGCAUCCCCCAUAUCUUAGAAACCAGAAUGAAAGGCCUACAGCAGAGACUGAAGAGAGGAAGGCUCAUCACUUGGACCACCAAAGAAAGGUCUCAAGAUCCCUCUGCUAUGGUUAAAUCUAGUCAAGCAACCCAUCCCGGUGCUACUGUGGAAUUCCUGCAAGAGGCAGGAGGCGGUUCAGAGUCAUCAAAGCCAUUUUUACAAGGUAGACAUAGGACUGGGGGAUUAAAGGCUUUCAUGGCCUCACUUGCCAACCUGCCUCCCCCCCCCCCAAGGCUCUGGGUGAGUACCUAUUAACUUCUCUCCACUCUCUAAUCCCAAAUCCAUCUCCACUUUGCAUAUCGACAUGAAAGCCAAUGGCGGUGCUGGCUAAGGUCAGACAACUCCAAGGAAAAGGCCUCAGGGGCAGGCAGAUAGGGAGCCAGGUGCUGGGAAAGGCAAUAGGAGAAACCUCAAGCUGGGCUUUAGUCUACCAGCGACUCCCUCCCCUACUGCUGCCAGUGCCUGAGGCACCAGGGCAGUUUGUAUCUUCUCAAGGUGUAUCCCCAGGAACCUUCGGAGGAGGAAUUUGGCCACGGCCUCACAAAGUCUGACUCCUGGUCAGAAUGCCUGGAGUGUGUGAACUAGCUGGGAUUCACCUCAUCCACUGCCAGCACCUCACUUUCUAAAGGCGUCCGGGGUUACAGCUUCUCAGGCGGUGCACUGUGGCAUGCAAAGCCGGAAGACAUUUGGCCUUCAACUGACUCAUACAGACCGGAAGAGGUGUCACGAGCAGUUUCCAAGCAUGGUCACUGCCCCCUGGCGGCCACGACCUAGAGUUGCUACAAGUGAUGAUCAGGCCGAGUGAAGACAAGGACCCUUAAGUCUCCUACUUCCUACAAGGACCCUUAUCUCCCCUUCCAUUCUCCUGAAAGCCUCGAAAGUCUCAAAGGCCCCCAAACUCUCGGACAGGUGGCAAUCACCACCCCAUCUUACAUUCACAAGCACCACUGGCCGCCAGGUGCAACUUUGCGCUCAAUUUCGACGAACUCAGAAGGUCGAACACGCCUACCGCCCAGCUGGGGGCCCAGAGCCAAGUGCGCACCCACUAGGGACAGAGACCCACGCUAAAGAUGUCAAACAGGUUUCCAUUCUCAGUGCCUCCAAAAGCUGGAGCUUGGGCCAGUUCCGCCUUCCGUCCGCUGGGGCCCUCCAGGUCGUCUGCCACCUCCCUCUCCCUGGCAGGGGGUGGCCGACACAUAGCCCAGGAGGCCCCAGGGCGCUGGAGAGCCGCCGAAACCUGUCCAGGAUCCACAAGGCUGUAGAGAUCAAGCUGCCCAUCUAUGGAGAUGCCGGGAGCCGUCCCGGCUCUAGGAAGAGAUGCAAGCCGUGCUCCGACCCCUCCCAAGAGACAAGCGCGGCCCCUGCCUUAUUCAGGCCCGCGCCUACCGGUCCUCGCACGCCGUUUCAUUCUGCUCGGCCUGGCGGCCAGGCACGUCUGGGGCCACAGCAGACUGCAAGGGCGAAGGGGCGGCGCUCAUUGAGGCCGGCGGCGCAGCCAUGGCGUCCCGAACCUGGCGGAGGCCGGGGAGGCGCACCGGGAGGCAGGCACGCUGCGGACUACAAUCCCCACAAGGCCGUGCGGCAAGCCCCGAGAAUGACCUUUGCCUCAACACAAACUCAGCCACACAAAAUCCCUGGAAAAAAAAAAUCAAUAAACAUUUAUUUGAUACAGUGACUUUAA
ensembl:antisense Uckl1os uridine-cytidine kinase 1-like 1, opposite strand